CUUCAGCAAGUACUGCAACUCCAGCGACAUCAUGGACCUGUUCUGCAUCGCCACCGGCCUGCCUCGGAACACAACCAUCUCCCUGCUGACCACCGACGACGCCAUGGUCUCCAUCGACCCCACCAUGCCGGCGAAUUCAGAACGCACUCCCUACAAAGUGAGACCUGUGGCCAUCAAGCAACUCUCUGAGAGAGAAGAAUUAAUCCAGAGCGUGCUGGCGCAGGUUGCAGAGCAGUUCUCAAGAGCAUUCAAAAUCAAUGAACUGAAAGCUGAAGUUGCAAAUCACUUGGCUGUCCUAGAGAAACGCGUGGAAUGACCAACUGCCCCUGUAAGUACAGUUUUUUGGAUAACCACAAGAAGUUGACUCCUCGACGCGAUGUUCCCACUUACCCCAAGUACCUGCUCUCUCCAGAGACCAUCGAGGCCCUGCGGAAGCCGACCUUUGACGUCUGGCUUUGGGAGCCCAAUGAGAUGCUGAGCUGCCUGGAGCACAUGUACCACGACCUCGGGCUGGUCAGGGACUUCAGCAUCAACCCUGUCACCCUCAGGAGGUGGCUGUUCUGCGUCCACGACAACUACAGAAACAACCCCUUCCACAACUUCCGGCACUGCUUCUGCGUGGCCCAGAUGAUGUACAGCAUGGUGUGGCUCUGCAGUCUCCAGGAGAACUUCUCACAAAUGGAUAUCCUGAUCCUAAUGACAGCGGCCAUCUGCCACGAUCUGGACCAUCCCGGCUACAACAACACGUACCAGAUCAAUGCCCGCACAGAGCUGGCGGUCCGCUACAAUGACAUCUCACCGCU
rnacentral:sRNA from 1 species